AGAUUCUGCGUUGCCGUUUCCGGUGUUUCUGGUUGGCUGUUUCCGGCAAAGAGUUUCCGGUCGAACUUCCACUUCCUGUGGAUUCCCAUUGACGUAUAAUACAAUCUAGACCGCGCAUUAGGAAAUUUCAGCGAGACGAUAGGCAACCCAGCAACACUCAGCAAGUGUACCGACGAGACAAUGGUAGAAUUCGUGGAAAUGCCAGUCUUGCCAGUGCCGGUGCCUGAUGCGGGUACACUUAGCUCGUAUAUCCGGCGGUAUCAACUAGGCUGAAGGCGCGUCUUUGCCCUGAUUUACCCCCCUAGCUGUCUUACCUUCCCCGCCUAAAGUCGGGCCCAAUGCGCGGUCUAGAUUGUAUUAUACGUCAAUGUGGAUUCCACAAAUAGGAGUGAACGACUCUAAGUGAACCAAGAGGGAACGGAACGGACAGUGAACCAGGUGGUAAACAAGUUGCAGCGUGAAAUUCAAAAAGCAGCGUUCAAAUUACCGCAAAUUCUAAUUCGUUAACAUUUUAUUUCAUGAAGCAUUCUGUGACUGAAUUUCGUUCAUAAUGAGCAAAAAGAAGAGCACCUUGGAAACUUUAACUGUUGAGUCAAUCCUCGCUGACAGGGCCAGGCGUCAAAAAUGUUUGGAAGAAAUACAAAAACUAUCACAGGAGCUCGAGCAGAGCGAGGGUAGCGAUAGUAGUGACAGCGUCCUGCGAGAUUUUUGCGAUGGGACACUUCAUGUCAGAUCAAGUGGCUCCGAUUCCAAUGAUGUUAAUUUGGAAUUUAAGAACUACGGGCACACAGUUUUUUAUUCUGGAGGCUCUGGAAUUCUUUGCGAAGAUGAAACUUUCAAUCAUAUGAACAAAGAUGACCAAUAUUUGUUUGCCCAUAUGUUAUCUUUCCGAUUUUGGGACAAACUUUCAAAAUAUUUCUCCAACCGUCCCUAUGAUAUUGGAAAAAUUUGUUUCCAACUCAUGACCACGUCUCUGGAGCAUGCUGAUUUAUGUAAACAGUUUCUUUUAUCGGAUGCAAAUACUUGGAUGCCAUCCUUUGUUGAUGUGAUCAAUGCUUUUUAUCGCUUGGGUGCAUCACCUCAUUGUUUAAAUAUUGGAGAGGAAAUGCUGGCAGAUUCGGAAAUGAUAGAAGAUUCAGAGAGUGCACAGAACACUAAAAUGAGUGAUGAUAAAAUCCAGCUGCUUCGCACUGUGUUGGAAUAUUUAAAUUUCUGUUUUGGCAAAGAAGCACUAACCUCUGAAAACGCUUUCGAUCUUGUGACUGUGCUUUCAAAAAUUGGCACUGAUAAAAAUUGUUUGAUAAUUUUGCAUUUAAUCAAUAGUCUCAUUGAUUUACUUUUGAGCAGUCAAGUCAGCUUUAACGAUUUUGAUGCAAGGAAUCUUGCUGAGAAACUUCUGAACUUUCAAACUAAUACUGUGAACAAAGUUUUUAUCUGUGUUAAUGUCCUACCGAGGAGCCCCAGAGGACAGUUACUAGCUGUGUACUUUGCAUUUUUCAUCAUGAAUGAUAUACUUGAAAUUAAAAUUAUAAAGUCAGAUGUAAAAAAUUUGGGCCCUGUCUUAGAUAUGCUUCAUGAGCAUGAAGAAAAAAUAAAGCAGCUGAGUCCUCCCAAUAUUUACUUCUUCACUUUAUCGCUGACAAACAUUAUUUACAAUUUGAAAGUUAGCAAUUUUAACAUAGAUGAGUUCACAGAAUUGUUGACAUUUAUGCUCCUUAUCAAGAAGCUUCCACAAAUUCAAGUUCGAGAUUCGAAUUUGAAAUUCAUUAGCAAUUUUGUAGAUUGGUGUUAUAAUCUUUGGAAUUUUUCGCUUGAUGAAUUGAAGGAAGCAAAAUUGUUUGAGUCACCCAAGAAAUCACCUCGAAAGUCACCUAAAAAGAAGGCUGCUUCAAAUUACUGAAAAAACCGCGAUUGGGCGGUGCUAUUUUCCAGUAAACUGAAAGAGGAAGGAAUCUUCUGUAGGAUUCUUCAACAGUUAGUAAAUGACUGAUGAUCGGAAACAACAAUAAAUCUACAAAUCAGUUGUAGCUAAAAUAGAGAUUUUUUUCCAAAGUGUCCUUAAAGUGGACUUGAAUUCUAAUUUGAUUAGAUUGCCUUGUCCUAAGACUGAACUUUUCCUGGAAUAUUUCAAUUAAGUAGUAUGUAAUUUAAAUUUGUUUAUACCUUAGUAGUUUCAUUGCUGUGCAAAGGGAUUUUAGUGAAACUGGGUCCUAGCCAAUUUUUUCUAAAAACCAAAGCGCUAAGGUGUCACCUGCCGUCAAACCGUAAAACCAGCAUUCCAGCAGUGCUUAACAAACAUGUGAAGUGUCAGUAUUAUGCAGAAAAAUUCUUUCAAACAGAAGAAAUCAGAGCUGGAGUUAGCCAGGAUUUCCUUAUAGGGGAAUUCCAAGAGCAAAAAUUCCUGCUAUCCCCCAAAAAGAUGUUUUUCUUUUAAAGGAUUUUCUUACUACUAAUAAUAACUUAUGGUUCUACUACCUCUGAAGCAGAGUUCAAUCAAUGUUAUUUGCUCCCUUCAGUUCUAUGAGAAGAAAUAAUGUGUUCAUUUUGAAAGGACCGCUAAAAUAUGAUUUUUAACUAAUUUCUAAGCCCCAAAUGAAGCAUCAUGAAUGCAUAUUUUUUUUUUUUUUUUUUUUUUUUUUUUUUUUUUAAUUUAACAAACCCAGGUCUAUAGUUAAAGUCAAUCCCAUGCCUCAAACAACAGAUAUCGUGUAAUAUUUGUAGAUACCAAAUUUUAGCACUUUUUUGCGUUUUCUUUGCCUACAAUCAUCACAGUUUUGCUCCUUCUGCAAUCUGAAAAAUCCUCCUUCUGCAAUUUUUCUCUUUUUUACUCACUCAUUAAAUACUCAUUUAGCCUAAUUUUAUUCUCUACCUUGCCCGUUUCAACUUUUUUAUGAACACAUGAGUUAGCAAUUUCUUACAACGUAAUGUGUACGGAUACCUACCAUUUUAUUUUGUUUUGAUAAAUUAUUUAUUUCACUGCAUUUCUCAGUCUUUUGUCUUCUGUCAAAUUUUUGUCAAGGUCAGUUGUAUUGUUUUGAAAAAAGAUGCAAUUUUCCUUAAAAUGAAUGGAAACUGUAGAGAAGCUCAUUUUCAGUUACACAUUAUGCCAACAUUUUGAGAGAAGCACAGAGAUCAUUGAAUUCAAUACAAUAAAUUGGUUCCAGUUUUUGCAAUAUUGAAAAGUUUAUAAGUCAGUUUUUUUGUCUGAGAAGAAGAAAAAUUGACAUUUACUUGUAUGAUUUUCUCAAAUACGUAGUCUUAAUAAUGUUUCCAGCUCAACUGCCAGAUGUUCUUCAGUUUGCAUGUCUUCAGCAUUUGCUGAAGUUGUAAGAAAUCCCACUCCUAUUUAAUACUCAUGUUUUAAAGGUAAUUGGUUCUUAUCUGCUUAAAUGAAAAAUUAAUGAAGCAGGAAGCACCAUCAACAGUAGCAUUGACUGUUUUUAGAUUUAAAAGAAGUCAUGACAAUGUUAAAAUGUACGAUUUAGGAAACUCUUUAUGUUUUUUUAAAAAGGAAAAUUCUUGUGAAAAUGUUGGAAAAAUUUGUGAAAAAAUAUUAGCAUCAAAUUUUUUUGAAUUUUAAAAUUUACUCAUAUUAAUGCCAAACUCAAUUAACUUCUUGUCGAAGUGUUGGCUAUCGUUUUUUUGUAGAAAAGAACGAAAAGGGUUUCCUAAUUCAGAUAUUUUAAGAGUUUCCUCUUCAAAUUAACAAGGUUUUUUCUUUUUUUUUCUUUUUUUUCCUUUUUUUUUUAACAGCGAAUGCUACCAGGGUGAUUCAUUUUUAUUUCAACUUGUUUUUUGAUUCUCCAAUAUUUCUAACAUUUCAAUCAUAGAGCAUAAAAUGGUGCAGCAAUGGUUUGAAAUUUGUCAGACGAGCGUUCUCCCUGAUGAAUUGAAAAAAAAUUACAUCCCCUCAUCAUCCGUAUUACUCGUGUUAAGAUUCUCUACCAUUCCGCCUCUCUCUCUUUCCGGAACGCCUUUUUUUGAAUUUAGCGCCACAUUGGAAAGUUUAGCCACUGUUCCAGCAAGUGCGCUCUCAUCGCCCAGUUACCAGUGAUGCGAUGAAUGACGAUUAUGUACUAAAUUUUCCUAGCUUCGGCCAAAUUUUCUUUUCAUCAUAUCAAUGUCUCUGUCAAAAUUUGCUGAUAAUACCUUUUAAUCAAGUGCCGAGUGGCUUUUUAAAUUGUUUUGAACUUGGUUUUUCUCACUUCAAACACUAAUACGCUUGCGGACUCACGUUUCUUGGUUGACAGUCUCGGGAACAUGUUGGCGAACCUGAUUAAAAUUGGCGGUAAGGUAAAGCAAGUUGCAACAUGUUUCUUUGUCGUCGGCGUCCCCGCGCCACUGGCCACUUGCAAGCAGUGAAGAGUGAAAUAAAUAAGCGAAAGUUCGAACCCGCUUCACGAUAUCUACUAUCAGUUAAUUCCGCCCGCAUUUUAAUCUUAUCGCCCCAUCCUCACGUCCUUUACCAACGGAGCUUCUUUCAAGAUCGUUAUCACUCUUCAACUGUCGUGAUUGUGCCUUUCUUUGAUCGACGAAUCUGUGACUCUUGCCCAGCAUGGUAGAAAUGACGGUUCUGUAGCUUCGUCAUCCGUGAGUUUUCCAUCUCCUUAUCUUCGAUACCGUAUUAUCCUGAGCAUCUUUAUUUCGUUGACAUCCUCGGCAGUCGAUUCCCUCCGUUUCCUGACUCGAAAUGGAGUUCAGCAACAUCCCUGAAGUACUGCAGGAAGUGGUCAAAGACAAUCAAUUGAUCAUCCAACAUCUCCCCCAGCCACCAGCCUUCAUUGCUAUGUUCAUGGACACUCCUGAUGAGGAUGUAUAUUUUAUUCACAAGAAGCCCAUU
rnacentral:lncRNA from 1 species